GAUGAACGCUGGCGGCGUGCCUAAUACAUGCAAGUCGAGCGAACAGAUAAGGAGCUUGCUCCUUUGACGUUAGCGGCGGACGGGUGAGUAACACGUGGGUAACCUACCUAUAAGACUGGCAUAACUCCGGGAAACCGGGGCUAAUGCCGGAUAACAUUUAGAACCGCAUGGUUCUACAGUGAACGAUGGUUUUGCUAUCACUUAUAGAUGGACCCGCGCCGUAUUAGCUAGUUGGUAAGGUAACGGCUUACCAAGGCAACGAUACGUAGCCGACCUGAGAGGACGAGGAGACACACUGUGAGUGAGACACGGCACAGAGGCCUAGGGGAGGAAGAAGUGGGGAAUGGUGGACAAGGGGCGCAAGACUGAUAAAGCAAUUCCGAGUGGAGGAAGAAGGAGUUCGGGUUGUAAAAUGAUUUUGUAAGGAACGAAAAGGAUCUGGCUAAUAACUGGGGAUCAUGACGGUACCGGAAGAAUAAGCACCGGCUAACUACGUG
rnacentral:rRNA from 1 species